rnacentral:rRNA from 1 species
CCUACGUGUGGCAGCAGUGAGGAAUAUUGGUCAAUGGUCGGGAGACUGAACCAGCCAAGCCGCGUGAGGUAUGCAGGUACAGAGUAUCGUAAACCUCUUUUGUCAGGGAACAAAGGCGGGGACGUGUCCCCUGAUGAGUGUACCUGAAGAAAAAGCAUCGGCUAACUCCGUUCCAGCCGCCGCGGUAAUACGGAGGAUGCUAGCGUUAUCCGGAUUUAUUGGGUUUAAAGGGUGCGCAGGCGGUCUGUUAAGUCAGCGGUCAAAGCCCGGGGCUCACCCCCGGCCCGCCGUUGAAACUGGCAGUCUAGAGGUGGAGAGAAGUAUGCGGAAUGCGCGGUGUAGCGGUGAAAUGCAUAGAUAGCGCGCAGAACUCCGAUUGCGAAGGCAGCAUGCCGGCUCCACACUGACGCUGAGGCACGAAAGCGUGGGUAUCGAACAGGAUUAGAUACCCCAGUAGUC